CCUACGGGAGGCUGCAGUGGGGAAUAUUGGACAAUGGGCGAAAGCCUGAUCCAGCCAUGCCGCGUGUGUGAAGAAGGCCUUCGGGUUGUAAAGCACUUUCAGUGGGGAAGAAAGCCUUGGGGCUAAUACCCUCGAGGAAGGACAUCACCCACAGAAGAAGCACCGGCUAACUCCGUGCCAGCAGCCGCGGUAAUACGGAGGGUGCGAGCGUUAAUCGGAAUUACUGGGCGUAAAGCGCGCGUAGGCGGUCUGAUAAGCCGGUUGUGAAAGCCCCGGGCUCAACCUGGGAACGGCAUCCGGAACUGUCAGACUAGAGUGCAGGAGAGGAAGGUAGAAUUCCCGGUGUAGCGGUGAAAUGCGUAGAGAUCGGGAGGAAUACCAGUGGCGAAGGCGGCCUUCUGGACUGACACUGACGCUGAGGUGCGAAAGCGUGGGUAGCAAACAGGAUUAGAUACCCCGGUAGUC
rnacentral:rRNA from 1 species